rnacentral:rRNA from 1 species
UACGAAGGGGGCUAGCGUUGCUCGGAAUUACUGGGCGUAAAGGGCGCGUAGGCGGAUAUCUAAGUUGGGGGUGAAAUCCCGGGGCUCAACCUCGGAAUUGCCUUCAAAACUGGAUAUCUUGAGUUCGGGAGAGGUGAGUGGAACUCCGAGUGUAGAGGUGAAAUUCGUAGAUAUUCGGAAAGAACACCAGUGGCGGAAGGCGACUCACUGGCCCGAUACUGACGCUGAGGUGGCGAAAGCGUGGGGAGCAAACAGG